rnacentral:rRNA from 1 species
AGCGUAGGUGGCGAGCGUUAUCCGGAUUUACUGGGCGUAAAGGGUGUGCAGGCGGGUCAUUAAGUGGUGUAUGAAAUCGCCCGGCUCAACCGGGCGAGGUUAUGCCAGACUGGUGGUCUAGAGAGCGAGAGAGGGACGUGGAAUUCCGGGUGUAGUGGUGAAAUGCGUAGAGAUCCGGAGGAACCCCAGAGGCGAAGGCGGCGUCCUGGCUCGGCAUCUGACGCUCAGACACGACAGCAUGGGGAGCGAACGGG